GUCUACGGCCAUACCACCCUGAAUGUGCCCAAUCUCGUCUGAUCUGGGAAGCUAGGCGGGGUUGGGCCUAGUUAGUACUUGGAUGGGAGACCGCCUGGGAAUACCGGGUGCUGUAGACU